UACGUAGGGCGCAAGCGUUAUCCGGAAUUAUUGGGCGUAAAGAGCUUGUAGGCGGUUUGUCGCGUCUGCUGUGAAAUUUCGGGGCUCAACCCCGAACUUGCGGUGGGUACGGGCAGACUAGAGUGUGGUAGGGGAGACUGGAAUUCCUGGUGUAGCGGUGAAAUGCGCAGAUAUCAGGAGGAACACCGAUGGCGAAGGCAGGUCUCUGGGCCACUACUGACGCUGAGAAGCGAAAGCAUGGGGAGCGAACAGG
rnacentral:rRNA from 1 species